CGUAGGUCCAUGUAAUUAAUUGGAAAGGGAUCUUUUGGUGAUUUAUAUUUUUGUGAAAUUUGUCAAUGAGCGACCAUUUGCAGUUACUAGGUGGUAACACGUAAGUCCAUAUAUGGACAGCACAUGACUUAGAUGUUGUAUUUUGCCUUGGUUGAUUAGACUUUGUGAGUUGAAUGUAGCUAGACAUGCAAAGCAGGUUUCAUAGCUGUGUUUUUGUUUGGGACAAGUACUAUGAUCCCUGGUGUUGCAUCACAACUUGCAGGCUUGGAAGAAUAAAAUUUUGGAUUAUGUUUAAUACAUAUUUAGGUUUGUGACUGAAGUUGUGUUGAGUUUUAUUAGAUUUUCAUAAUUUCUCAAACCAAUUUGUUUAGAGUGACCAAAAUAUUUGUAUUAAUUUUUUAGGAAAAUUUACAAUUUGGUUCUUAGAUUUUGCCCUAUAUUACAGUUUAG
rnacentral:misc_RNA from 1 species